UUGCAUCGAUGAAGAGCGCAGCGAAAUGCGAUACGUGGUGCGAAUUGCAGAAUCCCGUGAAC
rnacentral:rRNA from 1 species